rnacentral:rRNA from 1 species
UACAGAGGGUGCAAGCGUUGUUCGGAAUUACUGGGCGUAAAGCGUGCGUAGUCGGUAUUGAGAGUCGCGGGUGAAAUCCCAGGGCUUAACCCUGGAACUGCCUGCGAGACCUCAGUACUAGAGUGUGAGAGGGGAUAGUGGAAUACCAAGUGUAGCGGUGAAAUGCGUAGAGAUUUGGUGGAACACCGGGUGGCGAAGGCGGCUAUCUGGCUCACAACUGACGAUCAGGCACGAAAGCGUGGGGAGCAAACAGG